AAAUGCUCAUUGUAAAAACACUGAUGCUGGGUUUACAUGCUCAUGUAACCCAGGCCUAGGCUUUGCCGGAAACAGGUGCCAUGAUAUCGAUGAAUGUCGAUCCAUUUCCUGUGGUUUCAACGGUCGAUGCAUUAAUUCUUUUGGAUCUUUUCAAUGCAUAUGCAAUGCUGGAUACACUGGGACUCUUUGCCAAGAUGUUGAUGAAUGUGCCCUAAGAGGGCACACGUGUG